rnacentral:rRNA from 1 species
GAUGAACGCUAGCGGCAGGCCUAACACAUGCAAGUCGAGGGAGGAGCCUUCGGGCUUCGACCGGCGUACGGGUGCGUAACGCGUAUACAAUCUGCCUUUCACAUAGGGAUAGCCCGAAGAAAUUUGGAUUAAUACCUAAUGGUAUAUAGAUGUGGCAUCACCUUUAUAUUAAAGCUGAGGCGGUGAAAGAUGAGUAUGCGUUCUAUUAGCUAGUUGGAGAGGUAACGGCUCCCCAAGGCGACGAUAGAUAGGGGUUCUGAGAGGGAUAUCCCCCACACUGGUACUGAGAUACGGACCAGACUCCUACGGGAGGCAGCAGUGAGGAAUAUUGGACAAUGGUCGGAAGACUGAUCCAGCCAUGCCGCGUGCAGGAAGACGGCCUUAUGGGUUGUAAACUGCUUCUGCAGGGGAAGAAUAAGGACUACGCGUAGUUUGAUGACGGUACUCUGCGAAUAAGCAUCGGCUAACUCCGUG